rnacentral:snoRNA from 1 species
UCUGCCCCCAGAGGCAUGGCAGGUGUGGUUGCUGUGUGUGGCAGAGAGGAGAGAGGCUAUGUCUGGGCUCAGUGUUCUGACCUGUGAACAUCUAAAUGAUUAGUAGCCUAACACU